UACCUAAUCAAGGGUUCACGACCAUUUGUUCCCAUUUCUUUAAUUUUUUUUCCGUUUGUAGCCAUACUUCCAUACUUGUUUUCCAUUUUAAGAUAUUAGAAAUUCAUACCUCGUGUCUCUCUGAGAUCUAGCAUUUAGAUAUUAGAUGGCAGUUUUCAUCAAGUUACUCCAUGAGUUAGUUUCCUUGGUACCUUUUAUUAAGUAUUAACUUGUGUUUUACAGGGUUCUGCCGCAGGAGCUGAAGCUAGAGGUCGCAAUUACUCUCAUAUUAGGUUUCUGGGUUUGUUGGCUCAUUAAGAUGAAGCCAUAAAAUGUUGGCCUCAUAGGUUAAACAACUUCAAGUCUGUUUUUCCUCAAAGGUCUGUUUUAAUAAUUAAUUUUUGAUUAUGUUGAUUAUGUUGAUUAUGUUGAUUAUUGAUUUUUCAGCCGAUUAAGACAUAUGGAAUCGGAUCUAACGGAAUCUUAAGUCAUGGCAAGAUGUUGUCUUUGCUCAGCAGUGGGAAAGAACUACUCACUCAGAUUUUGUACUGUUGUGAUGGAGAUGGAAGCCUAACUAUAUUAUGUUCUGUGAAGCUAGCGGCUCUGGUGUCAAGCUUCUUCCAAAGGAGCUGAAGCUAGCGGCCUGGUUACUCUCAUUGGAGGUUUUUGGGGACUUCACGUGCAGGUAGAAGCCACUUGCAGGCUAUCUAUGUGUCAAGGUUGAGAUUCCAAUGGUUCUGCUGGAGAGGAAAGUGACAAAAAGGUUGCUGUAAUGGAGUUAUUGUUUGAUCCUUAGUUACUUUUUAUUUUCAUGUAUUUCUUGUUGUUGUUAUUAUAUGAUGCGCUACCUAAAUCUGUCUUCUCUCGGAUUGCUUUGUGUAGAAAUAAUGAAGCGUGUAAUCUUUGUUUCUAUGUCAAGGUAUACUUACUCGCUUUGACAGUGGUGUAUUCAGUGUUUGUAAUUUUUUUUCUCGGACAUGUAGUUCAGUAAGGUGUUACAUCCACUGAUUAUUAGGAACUGUGGUUCAUUUCAGUAAAGUAAGUACUGGAUGGUCAAUUGAGUAUAGAGGAACCAUAUUUGCAGGUCUAAAAGAAUGAACCAAACAGCUAUAGUUUGUUGAGCUGUUUCGACAACAAAGGUCCAAGGUAUAUUUUAUGACGGAUUACAUUUUCUUUUUGCACUUUUCCAAUAUGUUCGUACAUGCAUUAUUGAUGGAGUAUAAGUAAACUUAAUAACUUUUGGUGUCAUCUCGUAGGAAUCACUCCAUUUAUUACAAUCUCAUUUGAAGAUGCCAGUGAUUAUCUCCUUUUAUGUAGAUUAGAGAUCUCUUAUCAGUUACACCUCGGUCAUGGUUGUGAAGGGUUAAAAGUUUACACUAAGGUACUUACAUAUCACGUGAUUGUUUUUCGAAUUUCAAGUAUAUAUAAUUUUUUUGCCUUGUGUUGUUGUGCCGUGAUCAAUCGGGUUGGUUUUCCAUAAAGGAACAAGCUUUAGUAUCACUGAUCGUGGCCCAACAAACUAAAGCUUUAAGCCUUUAAGUCAAAUUGUGACUUAGCCAGCGAAAUCACUAGUAUUGCACUAGGAAUGAAAUCAGUUGCAGCUGGCAAUCAUAACUGGUCUGAAAAUUUGUAUUCACCGACAAAAGAAACAACAAAACUUGUUCGAAAUCCCCCCACCCCGAAAAGAUUGUUAUUGUGCAAGGGAUAAGUUAUGACUGUGUCAUUAGAAAUUACGAUGGUGUUGAAGUCUGCAUGAACGGUAGCGGUGAUAAUGUCCACGUCUACAUCUGCGUCAACCGUAGCGAGGAUAACGUCUAUGUCUGCGUCAAUUGAGCCUGAGUUAUGGUUAGAGAACAUCUAGAUUGAAAUGAUUUUUAGGCCACGUCCAUGUCUAUAGUUGAACAACGAAAGUGGUCUCGCUUUUAUCGACCACUGGAUGUGAGAAACCUAGUCUCUUGAAGUUGAAAUACAAAUUUGUUUGAUGAGCUAGACUAUUGCAGGUGAUGCUGGGUAUUUAGUCAUUCGAUUCGUGCAAUGGCAAAUGUAAAAUAAAAAAUUGUUAAUUUAGUAUUGUUGGUGCUGCUUUUGAAGA